rnacentral:rRNA from 1 species
AUCGAACGCUGGCGGCAGGCCUAACACAUGCAAGUCGAGCGGAAGAAGGGAGCUUGCUCCUGGCUUCAGCGGCGGACGGGUGAGUAAUGCCAAGGAAUCUGCCUGGUAGUGGGGGAUAACGACCGGAAACGGGAGCUAAUAUCGCAUAAGACCUGAGGGUGAAAGUGGGGGAUCGUUGGAGAACUCGCUAUAAGAUGAGACUAGGCCGGCUUAGCUAGUUGGUGGGGUAAAGAACUACCAAGGCAACGCUCGGCAACUGGUCUGGUAGGAUGAUUAGUCACACUAGAACUGAGACACGGACCAGAGUCCUAAGGGAGGGAGCAGUGGCGAAUAUUCGGCAAUUGGCGAAAACCUGAUCCAGCCAUGCCGCUUGUGUUGAGAAGGACUUCGGAUUGUUAAGCACUGUUAGUAUGGAGAAAAGGCAUUUGGUUUAGACCAAGCUUUUGUGACGUUACCUACAAAAUAAGCUCCGGCUAACUACGUG